rnacentral:rRNA from 1 species
AUCUGGUUCAGGACGAACGCUGGGGGCGUGCCUAAUACAUGCAAGUCGAACGGUCUUUCUAUGGAAGCUUGCUUCCACUGAGAAGAUAGUGGCGAACGGGUGAGUAACACGUGGGUAACCUGCCCAUAAGAGGGGGAUAACAUCCGGAAACGGGUGCUAAUACCGCAUAGUUUUCUUGAUCGCAUGAUUGAGAAAGGAAAGACGGCCUUUGUGCUGUUGCUUAUGGAUGGACCCGCGGCGUAUUAGUUAGUUGGUGAGGUAAUGGCUCACCAAGACGAUGAUACGUAGCCGACCUGAGAGGGUGAUCGGCCACAUUGGGACUGAGACACGGCCCAAACUCCUACGGGAGGCAGCAGUAGGGAAUCUUCCGCAAUGGACGAAAGUCUGACGGAGCAACGCCGCGUGAGUGAAAGAAGGUUUUCGGAUCGUAAAACUCUGUUGUCAGAGAAGAACAAGUUGGAGAGUAACUGCUCCAGCCUUGACGGUAUCUGACCAGAAAGCCACGGCUAACUACGUGCCAGCCGCCGC